rnacentral:rRNA from 1 species
UACAGAGGGUGCAAGCGUUGUUCGGAAUUAUUGGGCGUAAAGGGCGCGUAGGCGGCGCGGUAAGUCACCUGUGAAAUCUCCUGGCUCAACUGGGAGCUUGCAGGCGAAACUGCCGUGCUGGAGUGUGGGAGAGGUGCGUGGAAUUCCCGGUGUAGCGGUGAAAUGCGUAGAUAUCGGAAGGAACACCGGUGGCGAAGGCGGCGUGCUGGACCUCAACUGACGCUGAGGCGCGAAAGCCAGGGGAGCAAACGGG